rnacentral:sRNA from 1 species
CGAUCUGCUGCGGGCAGAUGAAAUGGAUAUGCGAAUCGAAGCCGCCGGCGGUGAGGAUCUUGCCCUCGCCCGCGAUGAUCUCCGUGCCCGGGCCGAUGACGAUAUUGACCUGCGGCUGGAUGUCGGGGUUGCCGGCCUUGCCGAUGGCGCUGAUCUUGCCGUCGCGGAUGGCGACGUCGGCCUUCACGAUUCCCCAAUGAUCGAGGAUGACGGCGUUGGUGAUGACCGUGUCCGCCGCGCCGUCAGCGCGCGACACCUGAGACUGGCCCAUGCCGUCGCG